rnacentral:rRNA from 1 species
CCUACGGGUGGCAGCAGUGGGGAAUAUUGGGCAAUGGGCGCAAGCCUGACCCAGCAACGCCGCGUGAAGGAAGAAGGCUCUCGGGUUGGAAACUUCUUUUUUCAGGGACGAAGCAAGUGACGGUACCUGAGGAAUAAGCCACGGCUAACUACGUGCCAGCAGCCGCGGUAAUACGUAGGUGGCAAGCGUGAUCCGGAUUUACUGGGUGUAAAGGGCGUGUAGGCGGGAAAGCAAGUCAGAUGUGAAAACCAUGGGCCCAACCGGUGGCCUGCAUUUGAAACUGGUUGUCUUGAGUACUGGAGAGGCAGACGGAAUUCCUGGGGUAGCGGUGAAAUGCAUAGAUAUUAGGAAGAACACCAGUGGCGAAGGCGGUCUGCUGGACAGCAACUGACGCUGAGGCGCGAAAGCGUGGGGAGCAAACAGGAUUAGAUACCCCAGUAGUC